ACGUAGGUGGCAAGCGUUGUCCGGAAUUACUGGGCGUAAAGCGCGCGUAGGCGGCUUUGCAAGUCGGGUGUGAAAUCCCCAGGCUUAACCUGGGAACUGCAUUCGAGACUGCAUUGCUAGAGUAUGGGAGAGGGAAGUGGAAUUUCCGGUGUAGCGGUGAAAUGCGUAGAUAUCGGAAGGAACAUCAGUGGCGAAAGCGACUUCCUGGACCAAUACUGACGCUCAUGUGCGAAAGCGUGGGGAGCAAACAGGA
rnacentral:rRNA from 1 species